CGACGGUGGCCCGCAGGGUUCUAGAGCGGCGCACUCGCGCACCCGAGUGCUCCAGUUUCCCACGGCGCACUUGGCUCGGGCUUCUCGGCGGAGCGUGCAGUAACGCGAAGCCUCUGUUUCGGAGCACGGGACUGCACAAUGGCAGAGCAACUUUCCCCUGGAAAGGUGACGGAUCAGGUGUGCACCUUCCUGUUCAAAAAGCCUGGGCGAAAGGGGCCUGCAGGCCGCAGGAAGCGCCCGAUCUGCGACCCAGAGCCCGGAGACAGCAGCAGCAGCAGCAGCGACGAAGGCAGCACUGUGGUUCGUCGCGAAAAGAAGCGGGCGACCCACAAUCCGAUGAUACAGAAGACCCGUGGCAGUGGUAAACAGAAGGUGGUUUACUGUGAAUUGAGUAGCGAGGAGGAGGAGGGGGAUGGGAAGGGGAAUGAGGCUGAGACUCUCCGUGUGGUCUACAAGUCCACCCGCUCGGCGAAACCCGUGGGGCCAGAGGAUAUGGGGGCGACUGCUGUCUACGAGCUAGACACAGAAAAGGAGCGUGACGCACAAGCCAUCUUUGAGCGCAGCCAGAAGAUCCAGGAAGAGCUGAGAGGCAAGGAAGAUGACAAGAUCUAUCGGGGAAUCAAUAACUAUCAGAAAUACAUGAAACCCAAGGAUACAUCUAUGGGCAAUGCUUCCUCCGGAAUGGUGCGGAAGGGCCCCAUCCGAGCUCCCGAGCAUCUACGUGCCACCGUGCGCUGGGAUUACCAGCCCGACAUUUGUAAGGACUAUAAGGAGACUGGCUUUUGUGGCUUCGGAGACAGCUGCAAAUUCCUCCAUGACCGAUCAGAUUACAAGCAUGGGUGGCAGAUCGAACGUGAGCUUGAUGAGGGUCGCUAUGGUGUCUAUGAAGAUGAAAAUUAUGAAGUGGGAAGCGAUAGUGAGGAAAUACCAUUCAAGUGUUUCAUCUGUCGCCAGUCCUUCCAAAACCCAGUCGUCACCAAGUGCAGGCAUUAUUUCUGCGAGAGCUGUGCACUGCAGCAUUUCCGCACGACCCCGCGCUGCUACGUCUGUGACCAGCAGACCAAUGGCGUCUUCAAUCCAGCGAAAGAAUUGAUUGCUAAACUGGAUAAGCAUCAGGAAGCAGAAGAGGAUGGGAACUUGACAGAGGAAAAGGCAGGUGAUGAAGUAGGUUCCUUGAUAGAUGGCUUGUGAAAGCAUCAAGGGCUUCAGGGAAAAGGGCAGUUUCACUUCUCAAUGAUUCCAAGUCAGAAGAGAGGGAGAAAAUUAGAAACAUAACAUCACUGACUCACACUCCCAAGAUGUCUUGCAGAAAUCAUUAAGCAGAAAGGACCACCUGGCGUUAAGAAGACCCUGGACAGGAUGCCACCACGAACUAAAAUGAGAUUAAGAAAAUUGCUGAAGCUUGCACAAGAACUGACCAAUGAACAACGCAGCCCACAACCCUGAACUUCUUACUCGUGCUUAAUCAUGAUAUUUUGCCUUUAAAACCCCCAAUUGUAAGCCAUCAGUGAUCUGGGUUUUUAAGUGAUAGCUUCCAGUUCUUCUUGUGUGGUGCCCUGCAAUAAAGCUACCCUAAUUCCUCCACUACAA